rnacentral:rRNA from 1 species
GACGAACGCUGACGGCGUGCCUAAUACAUGCAAGUCGAGCGAACUUAUGAGAGCUUGCUCUCAUAAGUUAGCGGCGGACGGGUGAGUAACACGUGGGCAACCUGCCUGUAAGACUGGGAUAACUUCGGGAAACCGGAGCUAAUACCGGAUAACUUCUUUCCUCACAUGAGGAAAGGUUGAAAGACGGCUUCGGCUGUCACUUAUAGAUGGGCCCGCGGCGCAUUAGCUAGUUGGUGAGAUAACGGCUCACCAAGGCAACGAUGCGUAGCCGACCUGAGAGGUGAUCGGCCACACUGGGACUGAGACACGGCCCAGACUCCUACGGGAGGCAG